rnacentral:lncRNA from 1 species
AUGAGAGCCAGUGUUGUGCAGUUUGACAUUCCCUCCCAGGAGGUUGCUAGUCCUCUGGUCCAGGAGGGCCUAAGCCAUGAGACCCCAGGUCCAGAGGUCCAGGAUUUCUCAAGUCCGGAUGCCCUACCUCCAGUGGUCUUGGAAGACCAGAUUCAGAAUGUCCCUAGUCCUGUUAUCCAGGCGGACCCUAGCCAGGUGGUCCAAUAUCCAGUGGUCCCCGAAGUAUGUAACCUGGUGGAACCACACCCUAAGCUGCCCACUUCACCAGUUGUCUCUUCCCUAGAGAAGGAAUCUGUGACUGUCUAUGUAACUUCACCUGAACCACCGGUUAAUCCUGUCAUGCCCAAGAGGGGCAAUCGUAUAAGUCAUGUCAUGUUCCCAGAGCUUGUUGUUGAGAUGGCACCCCCUGAGCCCAUGUCGGCUCCAACCUCUGAGCCCAAUCCAGUGUCUGUGCCAGCCCCAGAGUCUGCGCCAGUCCAGGAGCCUCUAGAGUCCAUCACUGCAGCCCAGAAGGGCACGUCAGAGUCCAGCCCAGUGUCUGUCCUUACAGCCCAGGAGGGCACUCCAGAGUCCAGCCCAAUGGCUGUCUCCGAAGCCCUGGAGAGUGCUUCCAAGUCCGGAUCGGAAUCCAUUCUUGCAUCUCCGGAAUUGUUUUCCCAAGGAUGCACCCUCUCUGCCCAUGUGGUCAUGGCACCGGAGUUUGUCCCAAGGCACUUCACGCAUCAAGAGUUGGCCCCAGAGGCCAUAAAGGCUACUUCCAAGGUUCCUCCAGUAAAACAAGUCCACCUCCCUAGAAGGACCACCAAGAACCCUAUCCCAUCCAACCCUUUAGCUAGUCCUUCUAGAUCCCAUAAGCCAGAACCUCCCUGGUCCUCAAACUAUUCCCCAGGAUUAUUUUCCUCCCUCCCAGUCCCACCCCUUAGGGUUCCUGGCUACCCUGGAGUUCCAAGCUUUGUUCCCAACCCACCCCCCCAGUUGGUACUUCCCUGUACUGUUUUGCCCAGUGUGGACGCCUGGGGGCGUCCAUUAGGGGGAGGGUACUGUCAGGAUCCUGCCCUGACAGCCCUGUCCAUCUUGUCUCUGUUCCAUGUUUCUCUGUUUGUUUUGUGUCUAAGCACAUGGUUCUGUCUUUUUGUUUGUGUCUGCCACGUGCUCCCCUUGUCCCACCUCCUUGUUACCCCUGGUCACGCCCCCUUGUUUAGCCCUUGUCUGCUUGAUUGUUUUCACCUGAUCCUCAUGUGUACUUUCCUAUAUAUUGGGGUUUCUUUCCUUGUGUCUCUGCUGGUUCGUUUUUGGUGUUUACCCGUCUCUUGGUCUAGAAUUUAUCCCUUUGAGCUUGAUUAUUAUUUUGAUCUCUUAUCUAGUUGUUUAUAUUCUUUUUGGUCUUUAGCUUUGUCUAGUUUAAAAGAAAAGGAAAUAUUUUUGUGUAUUCUAAUCUAG